UACGUAGGGUGCAAGCGUUUGUCCGGAAUUAUUGGGCGUAAAGAGCUCGUAGGCGGUCUGUCGCGUCUGCUGUGAAAACCUAGGGCUUAACUCUGGGCGUGCAGUGGGUACGGGCAGGCUAGAGUGCGGUAGGGGAGACUGGAAUUCCUGGUGUAGCGGUGAAAUGCGCAGAUAUUAGGAGGAACACCGGUGGCGAAGGCGGGUCUCUGGGCCGUAACUGACGCUGAGGAGCGAAAGCAUGGGGAGCGAACAGG
rnacentral:rRNA from 1 species